rnacentral:rRNA from 1 species
UACGAAGGGGGCUAGCGUUGCUCGGAAUGACUGGGCGUAAAGGGCGUGUAGGUGGCUUACAUAGUUAGGCGUGAAAUUCCUGGGCUUAACCUGGGGACUGCGUCUAAUACAUGUAGGCUUGAGUGUGAAAGAGGGUCGUGGAAUUCCUAGUGUAGAGGUGAAAUCCGUAGAUAUUGGAAAGAACACCGGUGGCGAAGGCGGCGACCUGGUUCAUUACUGACGCUGAGGCGCGAAAGCGUGGGGAGCAAACAGG